AAAACUUUGAAGAAGAAUACAGUAGGAGCAAUUAGUUUAUCUGCAGAGGAUCUGUGGUAGGAGUGUUGAGCUCAACAAGACAUUGCCCAGCUUGGAGGGCAACUUUUGGAGACCCAGUUGUUUUGAAAGCACCAUAAAUCCAGAGAAUGCCAGACUUUGAUGAUAAAAUUUGCCCACGAAGGAUCGCCGCGCCACCUUCUUGUUCAAGUGGGCACAGCACAACAAGCAAUGGAAAAACGCCAUCUGCUGGACGGAAACCGAGUUGGGCCCCAGUCUUCCUCUGACAGCGGAAAUGGUCAUUGUCUGCCUUCAGUAUUCUCACCCCAAUGAAGAAACAUCCUACACUAUAUAUACCAAGGUAUGUGGAGACCCCUUCAAAUUAGUGGAUUUGGCUAUUUCACCCACACCCGUUGCUGACAGGUGUAUAAAAUCGAGCAGACAACCAUGCAAUCUCCAUGCAAUCUCUCUCAGAUAGAAUGCCACCUUUCCAACAAGUAAGCUUCGUGAAAUGGGUUUCCAUGGCCGAGCAGCCGCACACAAUCCUAAGAUCACCAUGUGCAAUGCCAAGCGUCGGCUGGAGUGGUGUAAAGCUCGACGCCAUUGGACUCUGGAGCAGUGGAAACGCUUCACCAUCUAGCAGUCCAACGGAUGAAUCUGGGUUUGGCGGAUGCCAGGAGAACGCUAUCUGCCCCAAUGUUUAGUGCCAACUGUAAAGUUUAGUGAUGGAGGAAUAAUGGUCUGGGGUGGUUUUUCAUGGUUCAGGCUAAGCCCCUUAGUUCCAGUGAAGGGAAAUCUUAACGCUACAGCAUACAAUGGCAUUCUAGACAAUUCUGUGCUUCCAACGUUGUGGCAACAUUUUAGGGAAGGCCCUUUUCUGUUUCGCGUGCAUAAAUCAAGGUCCACACAGAAUUGGUUUGUCGAGAUCAGUGUGGAAGAACUUGACUGGAGGCUGUUAUAGUAGCAAAGGGGGGACCAACUCCAUAUUAAUGCCCAUAAUUUUGGAUUGUGCUGUUCGACGAGCAGGUGUCCACAUACUUUUGGUCAUGUAGUGUACCAGGAACAACGAAAUAGAAAAUGAAAAAGAUAAAUGGGAUAUUGUGACAUAUUAUAACUGAAAUAAUACUGGGAAAUGUAGCCUGUCAAUUACGAUGAUUAUGA